rnacentral:rRNA from 1 species
CCUACGGGUGGCAGCAGUGGGGAAUAUUGCACAAUGGGCGAAACCCUGAUGCAGCGACGCCGCGUGAGUGAAGAAGGAUUUCGGGAUGUAAAGCUCUAUCAGCAGGGAAGAAGAAAGACGGUACCUUACUAAGAAGCCCCGGCUAACUACGUGCCAGCAGCAGCGGUAAUACGUAGGGGGCAAGCGUUAGCCGGAUUUACUGGGCGUAAAGGGAGCGUAGACGGCUGGGUAAGUCUGAAGUGAAAGCCCCGGGCUCAACCCUGGGACUGCUUUUGAAACUGUGGAGCUAGAGUGCUGGAGAGGUAAGUAGAAUUCCUGGUGUAGCGGUGAAAUGCGUAGAUAUUAGGAGGAACACCAGUGGCGAAGGCGGCUUCCUGGACAGUAACUGACGUUGAGGCGCGAAAGCGUGGGGAGCAAACAGGAUUAGAUACCCGGGUAGUC